GACGAACGCUGGCGGCGCGCCUAACACAUGCAAGUCGAACGAGCGAGAGAGAGCUUGCUUUCUCGAGCGAGUGGCGAACGGGUGAGUAACGCGUGAGGAACCUGCCUCAAAGAGGGGGACAACAGUUGGAAACGACUGCUAAUACCGCAUAAGCCCACAGCUCGGCAUCGAGCAGAGGGAAAAGGAGUGAUCCGCUUUGAGAUGGCCUCGCGUCCGAUUAGCUGGUUGGUGAGGUAACGGCCCACCAAGGCGACGAUCGGUAGCCGGACUGAGAGGUUGAACGGCCACAUUGGGACUGAGACACGGCCCAGACUCCUACGGGAGGCAGCAGUGGGGAAUAUUGCACAAUGGGGGAAACCCUGAUGCAGCGACGCCGCGUGGAGGAAGAAGGUCUUCGGAUUGUAAACUCCUGUUGCUGAGGAAGAUAAUGACGGUACUCAACAAGGAAGUGACGGCUAACUACGUGCCAGCAGCCGCGGUAAAACGUAGGUCACAAGCGUUGUCCGGAAUUACUGGGUGUAAAGGGAGCGCAGGCGGGAAAGCAAGUUGGAAGUGAAAUCCAUGGGCUCAACCCAUGAACUACUUUCAAAACUGUUUUUCUUGAGUAGUGCAGAGGUAGGCGGAAUUCCCGGUGUAGCGGUGGAAUGCGUAGAUAUCGGGAGGAACACCAGUGGCGAAGGCGGCCUACUGGGCACCAACUGACGCUGAGGCUCGAAAGUGUGGGUAGCAAACAGG
rnacentral:rRNA from 1 species